AUGCCUUCGGAUCAAGGUGAGAUCAGUAUUCAGGUUCAAGCUUCGGCCUCUUCAACUUCAACUCCCCUUCAAGCCGAGGCAGUUGCCCUUUCUUGUGCAGCUCACCUUGCCGCUCAGCUUAAUAAUACUAAUCCCACGUUUCUGACGGACUGUCUUUCUCUUGCUUCUGCUACUGCCUCAAGAAAUAUUUCAGAUUCUGCUGCUCAUUGGAACAUUAGAAAAGAGUUGGCUACUUUUCUCAAAGUUACGUCUAAUUUAGCUGCUCAAGUGUUUCAUGUUUCCAGGGAAAUCAAUGGUGUCGCUCAUAAUCUGGCUCAACAGGUUUUCCGAUCUGUCGGAGAGACGCAAGUUGCUUGUUUUGCUCAUGCUCACUCAAAUUCUCCAUGUCCAGUGGUGGCCCUUCUUUCAAACUUUCAACUUGAAGGUAUUCAACUGCACACGGUGCAUUGCUUCUAA
rnacentral:rRNA from 1 species